GAGCCCGGAGCCCGCGCCGAGCCCCUGGCCUCGCGGUGCCAUGCUGCCCCGGCGGCGGCGCUGAAGGAUGGCGACGCCGCUGCCUCCGCCCUCCCCGCGGCACCUGCGGCUGCUGCGGCUGCUGCUCUCCGGCCUCGUCCUCGGCGCCGCCCUGCGUGGAGCCGCCGCCGGCCACCCGGAUGUAGCUGCCUGUCCCGGGAGCCUGGACUGUGCCCUGAAGAGGCGGGCAAGGUGUCCUCCUGGUGCACAUGCCUGUGGGCCCUGCCUUCAGCCCUUCCAGGAGGACCAGCAAGGGCUCUGUGUGCCCAGGAUGCGCCGGCCUCCAGGCGGGGGCCGGCCCCAGCCCAGACUGGAAGAUGAGAUUGACUUCCUGGCCCAGGAGCUUGCCCGGAAGGAGUCUGGACACUCAACUCCGCCCCUACCCAAGGCCCGACAGCGGCUCCCGGAGCCUGGUGAGACCCCCGCUUCCCCUGCCCCACAGCCCUGUCCCCAGCCCAGUGCUCUCAUUCUAACCUGUCCUCUCUCGCAGCCACCCUGGGCUUCUCGGCACGGGGGCAGGGGCUGGAGCUGGGCCUCCCCUCCACUCCAGGAACCCCCACGCCCACGCCCCACACCUCCCUGGGCUCCCCUGUGUCAUCCGACCCGGUGCACAUGUCGCCCCUGGAGCCCCGGGGAGGGCAAGGCGACGGCCUCGCCCUUGG
rnacentral:sRNA from 1 species